rnacentral:rRNA from 1 species
GGGAAGAGCUCAAAUUUAUAAUCUGGCACCUUCGGUGUCCGAGUUGUAAUCUCUAGAAAUGUUUUCCGCGUUGGACCGCACACAAGUCUGUUGGAAUACAGCGGCAUAGUGGUGAGACCCCCGUAUAUGGUGCGGACGCCCAGCGCUUUGUGAUACAUUUUCGAAGAGUCGAGUUGUUUGGGAAUGCAGCUCAAAUUGGGUGGUAAAUUCCAUCUAAAGCUAAAUAUUGGCGAGAGACCGAUAGCGAACAAGUACCGUGAGGGAAAGAUGAAAAGCACUUUGGAAAGAGAGUUAACAGUACGUGAAAUUGUUGGAAGGGAAACGCUUGAAGUCAGACUUGCUUGCUGAGCAAUCGGUUUGCAGGCCAGCAUCAGUUUUCCGGGAUGGAUAAUGGUAGAGAGAAGGUAGCAGUUUCGGCUGUGUUAUAGCUCUCUGCUGGAUACAUCUUGGGGGACUGAGGAACGCAGUGUGCCUUUGGCGGGGGUUUCGACCUCUUCACACUUAGGAUGCUGGUGGAAUGGCUUUAAACGACCCGUCUUGA